GAGGAGAUGGAGUGGAAAAAUAUCUCUCGAGCCCUGGGUGCCUUCAGUUUCCCUUUCUCGAUCCAAUCUCCAUCGACCUACUACAACCGCCACCACCUCCUCGAUCCAUGUGCUCACCCUUUGCCGCCGCCACCGGAGAGGCUCGCCUCCGCGGCCGCACGCCUUAGAUCCGACGGAAGGAAAAGGAGGAAGAGACCUGCACUGUCCUGUUCUCCGAGGUGAUGGAGGAGCAGCCGAGGGCGACGACGGUGUCCUUGGCCGAGCACACGGGCGGAAGGGGGGAGAGGGGUGUAGCCGCUCGUGGGGAUCGAGGGGAAGGAGAAAGGUGAUGAUGAUGCCGACUAUUUGGGGAAGGGGAUGCGGGCGACCUGGGGCGAGUGAAGCGGCCUGAGGCGAGGCCGGCGGCGACCUAUGGAAGGAAUGGGACGCCGGCGACCUUGGGAAGGAAGGGGAGGCCGGCGAAUUGGGGUAGGGGAUGCGGGUGACCUGGGGAACGGCGGCUGGGAGCUGCUUAGCCCGUCGUCGCUGUCGGCCACCGGCGGCCACCGCCCGUUGCUUGGAGGAUGAGGGGAAUGGAGAAAGAGAAGUAGUAUCGGGAAGGAGUUUUGGGGGAUAGGAGGAGGGGAACAGCAGCCGCGCCAGGCGACAUGCUCGCGGUGCCGCUUGGUGGCUGAGAUGAGGCUGCCCCAUGCUCUGUUCCAAUGGGCCUCCUCUGCUCGAUGGUUGCACUGGUUGAGUUUGGUACGACUCCUAUUGUCGGCUGCGUCGAGCCUUGGGUCUUUCUGUUCUUCGCAUUGAGAUCAUCCCGAAGAAUAAUUAUGCAAAACAAUUAUUAGUCCUGACGGCUUUUGUAUUUUAAGCUGUCUAAGGGCUCCAAGAGAUGCAGUCAUAGACAGUGACUGGUCCCUGAAGUUUGGGACGUUAAGGAUAAAAGCAAGCAGUUUUUAGAAACUUUUAGUUGUGGCUCAUGGGUUGGAGCAACUGGGAAACCAUUGACAAAUGUGGUCUCAAUUGGAGUUGGUGGUAGCUUCCUUGGACCUCUGUUUGUGCAUGCAGCUCUCCAGAUUGCAGCAGAGGCCGCCAAAGGCUGGCAACUGAGAUUGUAAGCGUGUACUUGGGGUUAGAGGCAUUGGUGUGAGGGCGUUGUGGUGACGUGCUCCUCCAUGCCUCGUGCGAGUUCUUGGUGUCGCGAUCAUGUCUCCAGAGAGCAGCGCUUCAAGGUCACUUAAGCUUGAAUGGGUUAUCAAGUCUACUGGAACCAUUCAUGUUUAGGCUUGUUCAUUGGUUUUAGGACAGACACUCCCUUAAGUAUGUUUAAUCACAAUUAAAAGGAGGAAGCCAAAUUAUUGCAAUGUGUGGCUUCAGGUAAAGUUGUCAAGAUGAUCUGGUGCUUGUUUGAGUCGUUGAUUACUGCUGCUUUGCUAAGGUUCAACGUCUUACUACAUGAGAAAUUUAUUCCAAUGCUUUCUCAAUCCCUUUACCAUGAUGACUACGAGAGGAACCUUCAAUGUGUAUAGAUGGUGAUGGAUAUGGGGACACACAAGAACUAGCGAACUUAAUACCAGAUGCCCUCAACUAUGAAUUCUUUAAUUAUUGGAGGCUUUCAUAUUCAUAUCAAUACAAGGUGGGAUAUGAUGCAGGCUUUAGAAUCACUAAGGUUGCUCCUUCUCUGUUCCUUUGGUCAAGCACAGAGGAAUGAGGAUGGAUACAGGAGGCAUGGCGUAAGCGUAGGGGUCAGCCAUGGCACGACGCAAGAGUCUGCCCAUCUCCUCUCAAAGUUAGUUCUUGCUCUUCUUGUCCCUACUACAUUGCCUGCCAACUCUCUGGCAGAGUAUUUUAUUUCUGCAAUGUAUUAUAUUCUUUGAAGAAAUUACAAUUUUUUCAUAGCUUCUUGGCAUACUAUGGAUUGAAUUCUUUGUGAGAACAAGCCAAUGAUGGUAGCAGUUCCUACAAGAAGAUACCAGACAUGUAAUAUCUUGAUAGAAGAGAAAAUCUACAUUUUAUUCAUGUGAAAAUUUAGGGUGGAUUUGUGUUUUUCAGAAAUGAGGCAACCUUACAUGUUGACAGUAA